rnacentral:lncRNA from 1 species
GCUCCUCCAACUGGGUCUCCACUCAGCCCCUGAGGAAAGUCUGACAGUAUUAAGUUCUACUCAUCCCCAAGACCCCCAAGUGGUCCUCACCAUGGAUAGAUGUUGUAGCUAUCUGUUCUUAAGAAACCAAAGCACUUUAGUGAGUCAUACAUCCCAUGAUACUUAUGGUGUGUGUCCCCUGAGAGGUGGAAGGGGCUUGGGCUAGGUCUCAUUCGAGGAGCAACCAGAGCUAGGAGGAAAAGCCUGGAGCCGGGAAGCAGGGAGCUGGGGCCAUAUCUGCACCACCACGAGCUGUGAACCUUGGGUGGGUCACUGCAUUUCACUGGGCCCCCUGUAGACGGUUGUAGGAAGGUCAUAAAAGCUACCCUCCUAGGAUCACAGAAAAGGAAGGAAAUAGGGUAACUGGUGGGACGUGCUCUGAAGAAAUCAGAAACCCUCUCCAGAGGUAAGGGAGGAUCAUCUGUAGACGAAGAAGUUGACAUGCAUAGUCACUGCCUGGCCAGGUUCACAGAACAGUCUCACAGCAGAACUGGGGCAUGAGCCCAGCCACCUGGACUGUCCCUGUUAGAGCACCUUUCACCCAGGGUGUGUACAUGAACAUGUGCUGCUCCUGUGGGCCAGUGUGUGCACAUACGUGGGUGUGUUUGUACAGGGGCUGUGCAACACAGAUGAACGUAGCAUGGAAACUCCGAGUCCUAAUUCCCCUUUUACAGUAGACCUAUCUGUGGCCUGGGGCACACCACCAACUCUUCUGGACCUCGGAUUUUCUAAGUUGUAUAUGGAGGACAUUGUGUGGUUCUUCCAGCUUUGGCUAUGAGAGCCCAUAACGGGUGAUGUAUGUAUGUAUAUAGCGAUAUGCUUAUCUGUAGAAACGGGCCCAUUGGGAAACUGGAGACAAGGCCUGCCCGAGUGCAUUGAUUUGCAUCAGAAUCGGCAACGCCACAAGUCCAUAAGCCUUCAUUUUCAGACUCGAUGGGAUGGUGGCAUUUGCCGUCAUUGUUUCAAAUUCACUGUCGAACUGGGUAGAGGAUUGGUGCUGUUUUCAAAACGAAGUUCUUAGCUCACAAGUGUUUGCUGUUAACUUUUUAAAACACGAGUCGUUUGUUCAAUAGUCAAAAUUUUAACUCUUCUGCCUCGGGCAGGUCCCCAACAGCCUGUUUUGCAGGCUGGGUUUUGUGUAUGGGCUUUUACAUAACUAUAUAAAAGUUAGCUGUUGGCUUGAUCACGGUAAAUAGGAACAGAUUGUCUGGAGAACAGUCCAGAGAAGAAUUGAAUUCUAUAGUUCUCGUCAACUGGUGACAUGAAACCAUUAAACUGUGUGCGGUUCCCUGGUGUGAAGAUGUUGUUCGCUGGCUACGGUCUCUGACUUUGUGGCAUAUGAGGUAUAAAAUGUUGUAAAAAAAAAAAAUCUGGUGUUUAAAAGAAUCAAACUAUGGUGGCAUUAAAUGUUCACUUUUAUUCUACCCAGAGUCGUGCUUCCUUCUCUACCCAGUAGGUCUUUUUAUACUCAAGGGGACUGGCAUUCAAGGACUAAGGUGGGUCACUGUACUAAAGCCCUACCCUAGCCUAAGGGACUCUAGGCCCAAUGGCGCCUCUGGGGCUCACCUAUCUAGUCUCCUUAUGGGUCUAUACUAUACAAGUCAGAGACCCGGGCAGGGAUGGAUGGAGGUGAGGGCUGUCACAGAAUCUCGGAAAUGGUCCUCUGUCCCUUGUCGCAGAGAGUCAGCUAGCACGGCGUUAGAGUCUCCCUCAGUUCCGUAUUUCUAGUGCCACACCAGACCAGGGUGUGUGCGGUGGGAUUGCAUGUGGCUUGAGCCUGGCCACCAAACAAACACCGCUCUUGCUUCUGCCCAGGAAUACGCUGCAUCCCUAUCGCUGCUGACAACUUCUUAGACAAAACCUCCCUGAGCUUCCUAUGGGUCGUUACAG